rnacentral:rRNA from 1 species
AGUGAACGCUGGCGGUAGGCCUAACACAUGCAAGUCGAACGGCAGCACAGGAGAGCUUGCUCUCUGGGUGGCGAGUGGCGGACGGGUGAGGAAUACAUCGGAAUCUACUCUGUCGUGGGGGAUAACGUAGGGAAACUUACGCUAAUACCGCAUACGACCUACGGGUGAAAGCAGGGGACCUUCGGGCCUUGCGCGAUUGAAUGAGCCGAUGUCGGAUUAGCUAGUUGGCGGGGUAAAGGCCCACCAAGGCGACGAUCCGUAGCUGGGCUGAGAGGAUGAUCAGCCACACUGGAACUGGGACCCGGUCCAGACUCCUACGGGAGGCAGCAGUGGGGAAUAUUGGACAAUGGGCGCAAGCCUGAUCCAGCCAUACCGCGUGGGUGAAGAAGGCCUUCGGGUUGUAAAGCCCUUUUGUUGGGAAAGAAAUCCAGCUGGCUAAUACCCGGUUGGGAUGACGGUACCCAAAGAAUAAGCACCGGCUAACUUCGUGCCAGCCGCCGCAGUAA